rnacentral:rRNA from 1 species
GAGCCAUCCUUGGGAUACCACCCUUGUAGUACUGGGACUCUAACCAUAGGCCAUGAAUCUGGUCUUGGGACACUGUCAGGUGGGCAGUUUGACUGGGGCGGUCGCCUCCCAAAAGGUAACGGAGGCGCUCAAAGGUUCUCUCAGUACGGUCGGAAAUCGUACGUAGAGUGUAAAGGCAAAAGAGAGCUUGAUUGCAAGACAUACAGGUCGAGCAAGGAUGAAAAUCGGACUUAGUGAUCCGGUGGUUCUGCGUGGAAGGGCCAUCGCUCAACGGAUAAAAGCUACCCUGGGGAUAACAGGCUUAUCUCCCCCAAGAGUCCACAUCGACGGGGAGGUUUGGCACCUCGAUGUCGGCUCAUCACAUCCUGGGGCUGUAGUAGGUCCCAAGGGUUGGGCUGUUCGCCCAUUAAAGUGGUACGCGAGCUGGGUUCAGAACGUCGUGAGACAGUUCGGUCCCUAUCCGUCGCAGGCGUAGGAAAUUUGAGAAGACCUGUCCUUAGUACGAGAGGACCGGGAUGGACGUACCUCUGGUGUACCAGUUGUUCUGCCAAGGGCAUGGCUGGGUAGCUAUGUACGGAAUGGAUAAGCGCUGAAAGCAUCUAAGCGCGAAGCCAACU